AUGCAGCUCCGCUUCGCGGUCCCGGACCAGGCGCGCUCGCUGCCGCCGCCGCCGCUGCUCAACUUCCCCUCCGUCUGGACGGCGGGCUGCUUCUGGCUCAGCGCCCUGCUGGACAACGGCAUCAACCGCAGGCCCGUCCUGCGAGCCGGUCUCCAUCGUCAAGUCCUGAUGGCCACUCUGGGGUUUUGUUUGGGCUACUACCUGAAGAGAUAUUCCAAUUACUACUACGCCGAGCGGGACAGAGAGCUUUUCAGUUACGUAAAGGAACAUCCCGAGGACUUUGUGAAAAAAGAACCAAGAAAGGUGGGAGAUAUUCUGGAAGACUUCGUCCCAAUUCGCUGAAGACUGUGAGCAGAUCCUGUCUUAUUCAUGGCGUCUUUCCAUGCUACUCUUGCGCGUGGAAGCCUUCGGGGUCAAAUUGCCUGCUGAUAGAUGUGGAUUCUCUUCUACUUGAAUCACCUGAUAGAAAAAUUAUGUUUGGGUCCUUAGAGACAGGCCCGGAUUAUGACCUGCUAAGGCCUUAAAACUAGGUUAAUAAUAAAUUGUAAUUAAA